CCGGUAUGUUCUAUUCGAAGAAAAUCUAAAAUUAUAUAUACUACCAUUUAUCAUAAAUGAUGGCUGCAAUUUAAUUGUUUUGUCUACUCCCUAGACCAUCCCUGUCCUUCUGGUUGGCUUACCAUGGACUGGGGCAUAUGUUAAAUCAGUCGCCGAUAGCAUCGAAUGCCAAGAGGGAAGUUGAAAAGUGGCGAAAUGUGGACGAGGGGCGAAAUCAAAGGUUAAUCACCCCUGCAGGGCACGCAACACAAACACAUGGACAGCCACACGCAUACAUUAGCUCCACAUGGCUCUCUGUCCCUGUGUGAGUGUUUAUGUGUGUGUGUGUGUGUGUGUGUGUGCUUGUGAAUGGGAUUUUCGAUGCGAGACUUGGCCAGAAGUUGGAGUUAAGGACACCACUUGCCAAGGGUGAGCCUUGCAGCCCUUCUGCUUUUUCCCCCCAAGAAGGCGCAAAGCUUUUUGCAAAAUGGCGCACUCACAUAUGCAACUGUGUACCAGAGUCUAUGUGCAUAUGUGUGUGUGUGUUGAAGUUCUCGAUUUGACUCGAACUGAACUUUUGCGUGUUUCAAUACCAUAAAUACUGCAUGCCUGUCUGCCCCCCGGGAAAAGCGGGGUCGGGGCAAUGGGGGAAAAUGGGGCGGAAGGAGUCACAUAUGCGGCGGACACACUCGUAAAAAAAUAUGACCAAUUAUUUGUCAUCAAUUUCGGGUGUAUUGACAGCUCUAAAAAGUUUUUAUUUACUUUAUGCCCCACGAGUUUACUUUUAUUGAUGAGUAAUAAAAUGUUACCUGCUGACCAUGUAGUUUCGAAAGGA